rnacentral:rRNA from 1 species
AUUGAACGCUGGCGGCAGGCCUAACACAUGCAAGUCGAACGAGUGGCGGACGGGUGAGUAAUGUCUGGGAACGUGGCUGAUGGAGGGGGCUGACUACUGUACACGGUAGCUAAUAGCGCAUACCAUCGGGUGUGCCGAGAUGGGAUUAGCUAGUAGGUGGGGUAACGGCUCACCUAGGCGACGAUCCCUAGCUGGUCUGAGAGGAUGACCAGCCACACUGGAACUGAGACACGGUCCAGACGCCUACGGGAGGCAGCAGUGGGGAAUAUUGCACAAUGGGCGAAAGCCUGAUGCAGCCAUGCCGCGUGUAUGAAGAAGGCCUUCGGGUUGUAAAGUACUUUCAGCGAGGAGGCGUUACCCGCAGAAGAAGCACCGGCUAACUCCGUGCCAGCAGCCGCGGUAAUUC